AACGUAGGACACAAGCGUUAUCCGGAGUUACUGGGCGUAAAGGGCGCGUAGGCGGCCACCGCAAGUCAGUUGUGAAAUCUCUGGGCUUAACCCAGAACGGUCAGCUGAUACUGCGGGGCUAGAGUGCAGAAGGGGCAACUGGAAUUCUCGGUGUAGCGGUGAAAUGCGUAGAUAUCGAGAGGAACACCUGCGGCGAAGGCGGGUUGCUGGGCUGACACUGACGCUGACAGCGCGAAAGCUAGGGGAGCGAACGGG
rnacentral:rRNA from 1 species